GAUGAACGCUGGCGGCGUGCCUAAUACAUGCAAGUCGAGCGAACAGACGAGGAGCUUGCUCCUCUGACGUUAGCGGCGGACGGGUGAGUAACACGUGGAUAACCUACCUAUAAGACUGGGAUAACUUCGGGAAACCGGAGCUAAUACCGGAUAAUAUAUUGAACCGCAUGGUUCAAUAGUGAAAGACGGUUUUGCUGUCACUUAUAGAUGGAUCCGCGCCGCAUUAGCUAGUUGGUAAGGUAACGGCUUACCAAGGCAACGAUGCGUAGCCGACCUGAGAGGGUGAUCGGUCACACUGGAACUGAGACACGGUCCAGACUCCUACGGGAGGCAGCAGCAGGGAAUCUUCCGCAAUGGGCGAAAGCCUGACGGAGCAACGCCGCGUGAGUGAUGAAGGUCUUCGGAUCGUAAAACUCUGUUAUUAGGGAAGAACAAAUGUGUAAGUAACUAUGCACGUCUUGACGGUACCUAAUCAGAAAGCCACGGCUAACUACGUG
rnacentral:rRNA from 1 species